rnacentral:rRNA from 1 species
GGAAUUUUGGACAAUGGGCGCAAGCCUGAUCCAGCCAUGCCGCGUGUGUGAAGAAGGCCUUCGGGUUGUAAAGCACUUUCGGACGGAACGAAAUCGUCCCCGUUAAUAGCGGGGAUGGAUGACGGUACCGUCAGAAGAAGCACCGGCUAACUACGUGCCAGCAGCCGCGGUAAUACGUAGGGUGCGAGCGUUAAUCGGAAUUACUGGGCGUAAAGUGUGCGUAGGCGGCGUCGCAAGUCGAGUGUGAAAGCCCCGAGCUUAACUUGGGAAUUGCGCUCGAAACUACGGUGCUCGAGUGUGGCAGAGGGAGGUGGAAUUCCACGUGUAGCGGUGAAAUGCGUAGAGAUGUGGAGGAACACCAAUGGCGAAGGCAGCCUCCUGGGCCAACACUGACGCUCAUGCACGAAAGCGUGGGGAGCAAAC